rnacentral:lncRNA from 1 species
AUGCCUCAUUGUAGCACCGAAUGCACGAGGACUGCUCCAUCUGUAGUGCAAACCAGCUCAUAUGCAUCCCUUGCAUUGCACAUGCAAAGGUUUUCCUGCAUAGCACAGAACUGUGCUGACUUUGAACGGGAAUUAAUGUCGAAGAUGCCCCUGAAAUCCAAAGCCGGAAUUCAGAUGAAAGACUUCUACAGUUUUGACCUCUAUCAGCAGCAGAGUGCCUCGAAGACCUGUGGGACAAAGAAUGGCUUUGCUAACUGA